CGCGGGCACGCAGUCGCCACCCUAACUACGAGAGCGUGUCUUGGGGAAAAGCGCGAUGCUUUUUGCCCUGCGGCGUCAGUGACCGUAAGCAGCCUUCGGAGCGACUGACCCACAGCUCUAAAGGACAGCUAGCGCCACUGUUGAGACAGAAAACUGAGGCUAUGCCUGGGAAACUGUGGAUGAGUUGGAGAGCAACCCCUCCAAAGCGUCCCAAGCACUUGGUGUUUUUCUGAGCCAAACUCCCUUCUUAGAGACUAAUUAGGAGGCACGAGCUGAGGCAGCUUCUCCAUCUGGAGCAUGAGAUGGUGAGGGGAAGCUCCAGGUCUCCCAGCAGAGGGAAAAUUGCCUGCUGGAACGCUGUUGAGAAGAAAUGUGGACUGUCUCCAGGUGUCACACAGGAGAUUUAAACCCUGGGCCAGAGAGAUGUUCAGUGAGAAAAGUGCUUACUACCAAGCCUGAUGGCUGAAUUUGAUCCCAGAAGCCAAAUGGUGGAAAGAGAGAACUGACUCCCACAAAUUGUCUUAUAACCUUCA